AAUGGAGCUGUGUGCACACGCACGAUAUUGUUUUAAAAGCUCGUGAUUCGGAAAAUAGAAAAGGAAGUUGUACGAUAGAAAGAGAGAAAGAGUAGAGAAUGAGAGAUGACGUUGGUGGACCAAGCGAGAUUCGCUUCGCUUACGGAAGGCGUUUCACGAUUUCGUGCUGACCGUUCGUGGCCAGAGGUCAGAGUUCAAAUUCAACCAGACGAGAUAACAACUACGACGUCGAUAAAUCGUCGCUACGAAGAACGCCGAACCGUUCUCUCGUAACGGACAUUCUACAUCAUUUCGUUUGAAAAUAAAUGAAAGGAAACGGAGAGCAGAAGGACUAAGAACCGUCGGAUACGUCCGAUCCUUUAUCGUUAUUACCCUUCAACCGACUUAAAGGGCUAUAAACGACAACAUAUGGCACCCACAUGGACGCGAGAGCAACGUCUUGACAAAGGGAUCCUGCAGGACUUUGUCGCGACAUGCAAACCAACGGGUGUAUCUUUAUCCUUUCUUAUUUUUCUCUUCAUUGUCCACUUCUCGCCAUAAGAAGAUAACAAUAGGACGAAAUCUCAAGACGGCGCCAUCUUAAAUCACGACACCGACCGUGCCAGGAAGGAAAAAAGAAGGACGGAUGAAAUAGUCGUCGAGAGAAGACGAGAGAUCCUUAGAUGAGAUAUACGCGAACCCGCGUAAGAAAGUCGAAGACGCUCGACUCGAAUCGUCGAUCGGACAGACCGGAAGAGGGGUCCCCACCAUUUUCUUCCUUUUGCUAUCUCUCUCUAUCUCUAUCUCUCUAUCUCUCUCUCUCUCUCUGUCUUUCUUUCUUUUCUUUUCCUUUCUCUCCUUCUUGUUAGCCGCGCCGAGGCUCAUAGAAAAUUCUAUUAUUCUAUUCUUAUCAUCGACAGUGACGCGUGCUGCCUCGUAUCGACAGCCGGAUACAUAAUGCAACGUGAGUUUCCGAGCUUGCGCGUUCGUGCACCGGAUGCACCCACACCGAGCUUGCAUACUGAACGGGCCGGCUCUUUAAGGUCUUUCUAGAAAACGUGCUGGCUCGCGAACGCGGUUGAACGUCCUGGCCCAUC